rnacentral:snRNA from 1 species
GUCCCCUCGGAGACAUCCUAUAAAAUUGGAACGAUAAAGAUAAGAUUAGCAUGGCCCCUGCGCAAGGAUGACAUGCACAAAUCGAGAAAUGGUCCUUGAUAAA